rnacentral:rRNA from 1 species
UACAGAGGGUGCAAGCGUUGUUCGGAAUUACUGGGCGUAAAGCGCGUGUAGGUGGCGAUGUAAGUCGAGUGUGAAAUCCCCGGGCUUAACCUGGGAAUUGCGCUCGAAACUACGGAGCUGGAGUGUGGCAGAGGGAGGUGGAAUUCCACGUGUAGCGGUGAAAUGCGUAGAGAUGUGGAGGAACACCAAUGGCGAAGGCAGCCUCCUGGGCCAACACUGACACUCAUGCACGAAAGCGUGGGGAGCAAACAGG